AUCCAGCUGACGAGUCCCAAAUAGAACGAAGCGCGCAACCUGGAU
rfam:Schistosoma rodhaini strain Burundi genome assembly, scaffold: SROB_scaffold0002612